rnacentral:misc_RNA from 1 species
GGUUGAUUGGUGACUUAGAGCUUGUUUGGUAUAAAUGAGUUCCACAAAACAUUGUGGAAUUCAUUUAUAAAUCCAUUUAUACUAUGUUUGGUAUAAAUCAAAAUUCAUGUAUAAAUUUAAAAUUUAAAUUCCAUUGAAUUUAUUACAACUAAUCCAAAUUCUGUCAAUUUGGAUAGAAUUUGUAAAUGAAUUCUGACCUUAAAAUGUUAAAAAUUAUAUUGGACAUAAAUACCCUCUGGUACUUAAUAGAAUCAAUUCUUCAUCUCCAUUUUUUUCCUUGCUGGUCUGCUUUUUCUCCAUCAUUUCUAGUUAGCUCCUCCAACAUCUCUAUUCGCAUGCCAUUCUUCGAUUCUACUCCUGAGGUUGUCAAAUGAGUUUGACAGCUGAGCUUUAGUAUCUAAAGGAUUUCUGUGACGCGUUGCUGUUGUUGUGUUCUGGAAGAAUUUGAUAAAGGAACUUGAACCAGCUGGCAUAUAUGGCAGGAAGCAAAGCGUUCCCCGCUCCUCCUGACCUCUUUCCUUUUCAGUCAGCGCAGAAACUAGAUAUGCGGUUGACAGGAGGAAACAUGAAUUCAAUUAUUGGUUUUGUUUA